CAAAAGUGCUGUUUAUGUGGGCUGGAAGAAACUCUCUAUUUAGCUUUCUUCACAAAUUUCCAUAGCAUCAGCAACAAGACAGGUCAGCCAAUGUCAAUAGCAAAAAGAAGGGAGAACUGAACAAGACUAUGAAGAUUACCAGUGGAGUUGGCCUCUGUAUACAUAGAUUCCACACCCACAGAUUCAAAC
rnacentral:lncRNA from 11 species